rnacentral:rRNA from 1 species
UACAGGGGGUGCAAACGUUGCUCGGAAUCAUUGGGCGUAAAGCGCCCGUAGGCGGCUUAACAAGUUGGAUGUGAAAGCUCCCGGCUUAACUGGGAGAGGUCAUUCAAAACUGUUAGGCUAGAGGAUGGAAGAGGAGAGCGGAAUUCCCGGUGUAGUGGUGGAAUGCGUAGAGAUCGGGAGGAACACCAGUGGCGAAAGCGGCUCUCUGGUUCACACCUGACGCUGAGGGGCGAAAGCGUGGGGAGCGAACGGG